AAUCGCAACCAUGGGGAUGGGGGAGCAGAUGAUGCCGCGGCCGCGAAUGCUUCCGCGAUGGGGACGAUCGUCGCCGUCUCACUGGACGGCCAGUCCAUCGGCCUGGUAAGCGGAAGGAGGAGUUUGAAUAGAUUCGAGUCUCGUGCCUUCUCUCUGCCUCGCUGAAGCCUCAUACCAAAGGGAUGGCGCAUCAUGUCUCCAUAUCAGGCCAUCUCUCUUCCUUUGUCGUGCUCGUGUUCCUGUUCUUAUUGUUGACGAAAGUUUGAUAAUUACCCCAAUGGUAAACUCUGGACGAACACUAGAGAAAAAGAUGGAUCAAGUUUUUUUGUUGAAAUGGGAAAUUGGGGGUUUAGUUAGGGUACUUGAACAUGGCAAAUUUUUCCUGAAGGAUUCAUUGUGACUCGAAGUCUAUUCUCUCCGUAGAAAUUAAUGUAUUUUGUUUGCAUGAUAUAACAAGCAAUAAUUGACAUUUAUCCCCUGCCAUGUGCUUUGUUGAUUCACUGCUCUAGAAUGCUGCUUCUGUUUUAAUCAAAUUAAAUUUGUGGAA